CCGUGUUGCUGUCGGUGAGACCGAGAGCAGCUGAUGGCUUUCGCAGGUCUGCUGUGUGGGACGGGUCGAGUCCAGGUCACAACCGCAAAGUCAUGACUGGAACACUUUCAACGGGAGUGUGAGGGAGCUCCAGCAGCUCGUCCCUGCAGCUGUCGUUGCCACAGACGCACAAAACAAGCGCUCCUCUGUCUGCUGAGACGUCACUAUGUUUGUUUCCGUCUGUUGGCCGCAUCAGGUAACAAAGGGCCGUCCAAGGAGACAUGCACGGUCGUUAGCAGGAAUCAAACCUGAGACCUGUCGUCCGUCAAACAGCAACAAACCUCUGUCAGCGGAUCAGAUUCUCGGCUUGCCUGGCCUCAGACAAACUUCCCCACCGGCCUCGUGUUUAUUUUAAGUUUUUUCUCACGAGUGCAGGUUAACAUCGCCGCAGCUGCUACUGUGCACUUUACUUUAUUUUUUUACUUUAUUUUCAUGGCUUCUGUGCUUCAAAAAGAAGUCCAGCUGUAUAAAAAUAACUCACUGCUCACUUGAUCAUUAAAGGUGGACAUAGCCACGCCCCCUAGUUAUCAAACUUAAUACACAGCGAGACCGUGGCUGUUUUUGUACCAGGCCGUAAACGUGAUUAUUCCUGCUGUAAAGUUUUAAUGAGGACAGACUCACUGCCGGAGCCUCAAGUGGACAUUAGAGGAACUGCAGCUUUUGACACGCCUGCGUUGUCCCUUGCUUCAACAUCAGCGUGACUUUUAUUUUGAAACUUCCUUUCAAUCAAGACUGGACUCAGUUAUUCAGAGGUGCCUGUAACUUCUUUAUUGCAAUAAUGUGAACAAUGUUUUCUUCUUUGCAAACAGAGACAGUAUAAAAGAUGCCAAAGUGAAGCUAACACAAAGGUGCCUUCUUUUAACAGCCAGCAGGGGGCGACUCAUCUGGUUAAACAGGCUUGCUGUAUAAAAACGACCCUCGCUCUGCGAACACAGGAAAGUCUCUCUGAGAGCUCUCGUACCGAAACCUUCAGACGACAGAAAAACUUUGGUCCAAACUCUAAACACUGCAGUACUACUAGAGACUACGAGAUACAUGUGCGUGUAUUUUAACUCAUGUUAACUCUUAUUUCCAUUCAUAUGGAUUCAUGAUGUCUGCACCGCUCCGAGAGAUGCUUCACAUUGCAUCGUUCACCUGUACAUUAACAAAGGCCUUCUGUUCUAUUCAUUUUGUGAAUUUUGCUCAUUUUAAGAUUAUCCGGGUUUGUUCACUGGCUAAGCACUGUUUUGUUUUUGGACUGCUGUUUGAGACACGUCUGCUGAGCUCUUCAGCUUUUGAAACUUAGACUCGUUUUUGUACUUGAACUUUUGUGUUUCCCAGCUCUGUGCCGAGUCCUCCCGUCUUUAGCCCAAGCUUGGUAAAUAUCCUGCAACCUUCAGCUGUUAUUCAGGCACCGGUGGCUGCUCUCACUUCCCUCCAUAAAAAAGCAGAGCUGAGUCUGUGCUUCGCCAACUGUCCCCUUAAAGGAGAUUAGAGUUCUCGGAGCGGAAAAGAAAGUGUUGCUCAUUUGUCUCCCUGCAGGAUUUUCUGUCCCGUCGGUCCGCCGUCCUGCUGACUCUGCGGUAACGGCGUAAAGCUCCAGCUGAUGAUUCAUGGAUCGGAUGACUCAGAUCUUGUGAGUGAAGCUUCUCUGGGCCAAAUCAAGCCGGUAGGAUUCCCCCUGGAUAUUCCCUGCCGUCCUCGGUCUCACGCCUCCGGCUUUCCUGGAUCUCACUGUUUACUCAGUCAGCUCUCACAGUGAAAGCUGAGCCGCGGCUCUGUGUGGAUCUGCUCUGA